AGUACCCUGAGGAAAAGAAAUCAACCGAGAUUCCCUUAGUAGUGGCGAGCGAACGGGGAUUAGCCCUUAAGCUUCAUUGAUUUUAGCGGAACGCUCUGGAAAGUGCGGCCAUAGUGGGUGAUAGCCCCGUACGCGAAAGGAUCUUUGAAGUGAAAUCGAGUAGGACGGAGCACGAGAAACUUUGUCUGAACAUGGGGGGACCAUCCUCCAAGGCUAAAUACUACUGACUGACCGAUAGUGAACCAGUACCGUG
rnacentral:rRNA from 1 species